rnacentral:rRNA from 1 species
ACUACGGGAGGCAGCAGUGAGGAAUAUUGGUCAAUGGGCGGAAGCCUGAACCAGCCAAGUAGCGUGCAGGAUGACGGCCCUACGGGCUGUAAACUGCUUUUAUACGGGAAUAACGCGCCUUACGUGUAGGGCUUUGCAUGUACCGUAUGAAUAAGGACCGGCUAAUUCCGUGCCAGCAGCCGCGGUAAUACGGAAGGUCCGGGCUUUAUCCGGAUUUAUUGGGUUGAAAGGGAGCGUAGGCCGCAUGUCAAGCGUGCUGUGAAAUGUCCGGGCUCAACCCGGGCCUUGCAGCGCGAACUGGCGUGCUUGAGUCCGCGGAAAGCAGGCGGAAUUCGUCGUGUAGCGGUGAAAUGCUUAGAUAUGACGAAGAACCCCGAUUGCGAAGGCAGCUUGCUGCAGCGGAACUGACGCUGAUGCUCGAAAGCGCGGGUAUCGAACAGGAUUAGAUACCCUUGUAGUC